UACGUAGGUGGCAAGCGUUGUCCGGAUUUACUGGGCGUAAAGGAUGCGUAGGCGGACAUUUAAGUCAGAUGUGAAAUACCCGAGCUUAACUUGGGUGCUGCAUUUGAAACUGGGUGUCUAGAGUGCAGGAGAGGUAAGUGGAAUUCCUAGUGUAGAGGUGAAAUUCGUAGAUAUUGGGAAGAACACCGGUGGCGAAGGCGGCUCACUGGACCGAUACUGACGCUGAGGCGCGAAAGCGUGGGGAGCAAACAGG
rnacentral:rRNA from 1 species